UCUUAUCAAGAGUGGCGGAGGGACUGGCCCUAUGAAGCCCAGCAACCGAUAUAUUGAUUCAUUUAUCAUGUUAUACGGUGCUAAUUCCUGCAGCUUUUUUAAGCUGGUAGAUGAGA
rnacentral:ncRNA from 1 species